GGGCCGUCGAAGACUACGACGUUAAGAGGUUGGGUGUGUAAGCGCUGUGAGGCGUUGAGCUAACCAAUACUAAUUGCCCGUGAGGCUUGACCAUAUAACACCCAAGCAAUU
rnacentral:rRNA from 1 species